UNUGGAGUAAAAGGCUAUGGCUCAACCAUAGUGUGCUCUGGAAACUGUCUGACUUGAGUGCAGAAGGGGAGAGUGGAAUUCCAUGUGUAGCGGUGAAAUGCGUAGAUAUAUGGAGGANCACCAGUGGCGAAAGCGGCUCUCUGGUCUGUCACUGACGCUGAGGCUCGAAAGCGUGGGUAGCGAACAGGAUUAGAUACCCUGGUAGUCCACGCCGUAAACGAUGAGUGCUAGGUGUUAGGCCCUUUCCGGGGCUUAGUGCCGGAGCUAACGCAAUAAGCACUCCGCCUGGGGAGUACGACCGCAAGGUUGAAACUCAAAGGAAUUGACGGGGGCCCGCACAAGCGGUGGAGCAUGUGGUUUAAUUCGAAGCAACGCGAAGAACCUUACCAGGUCUUGACAUCCCGAUGCUAUUCUUAGAGAUAGGAAGUUACUUCGGUACAUCGGAGACAGGUGGUGCAUGGUUGUCGUCAGCUCGUGUCGUGAGAUGUUGGGUUAAGUCCCGCAACGAGCGCAACCCUUAUUGUUAGUUGCCAUCAUUAAGUUGGGCACUCUAGCGAGACUGCCGGUAAUAAACCGGAGGAAGGUGGGGAUGACGUCAAAUCAUCAUGCCCCUUAUGACCUGGGCUACACACGUGCUACAAUGGUCGGUACAACGAGUUGCGAGCCGGUGACGGCAAGCUAAUCUCUGAAAGCCGAUCUCAGUUCGGAUUGGAGGCUGCAACUCGCCUCCAUGAAGUCGGAAUCGCUAGUAAUCGCGGAUCAGCACGCCGCGGUGAAUACGUUCCCGGGCCUUGUACACANCGCCCGUCACACCACGAGAGUUUGUAACACC
rnacentral:rRNA from 1 species